UACGUAGGAGACGAGCGUUGUCCGGAGUUACUGGGCGUAAAGGGUGCGCAGGUGGCGGCGCGCGUGGGGGGUGAAAUCGCCCGGCUUAACUGGGCGGGGGCCUUCCAGACGGCGUGGCUUGAGCAGCGGAGGGGGACGUGGAAUUCCGGGUGGAGCGGUGAAAUGCGUAGAGAUGCGGAGGAACACCGAUGGCGAAGGCAGCCCCCUGGGCUAACACUGACGCUCAGGCACGAAAGCGUGGGGAGCAAACAGG
rnacentral:rRNA from 1 species